rnacentral:lncRNA from 1 species
ACAAAGCAUAUCUUUAAAAAUAUAUUUAUUUUAAUUUUUUAUACAUAUAUAAAUAUAUAAUAUAAAGAGGCAAUUGCUUAUAUACUUCUGAAAAUUUUUCGACUUUCGAAUUUACCCUUCUCUUAGAAGGUUAAUAUUGAAAAUACCUUUUUUACGUUCCAACCUAUUUCAAAUAUACUCCUAAAGUUGAAAUCUGUUAAUGAACUCUGUUAUCUAUAUGAAAUUACCAUUUUGCCUUUCAAAUAUACCCUUCUACCGUUAUUGACUUUUCUUAUUUGCCUAUAAGUUACGGGCACAAAAAGUAUUUUGCUCUUUGGUCUUUUCAAAUAUAUCCUUCUAUCAUCACCAACAUUUCUUAUUUGCCCUUUAAGUUAAGGGCAAAAGUGAAAUUUUAAUUUUUUUUUAACUGUGGUAGAUAUUUAACUCACGUUUAACUCAAGUUAAUUUAACGGGUGGUAACUGUAGGGAUAUUUUGGAAUAACGGAAGAACAUAUAUAUGAGGGGUGUGUUAUAAAGAAAAAAAAAGUAAGGAUAAAUGAGAUAUUUUUAAAAUUUUGAGGGGUAUAUAGGCAAUCAUCGCAAAUAUAAAAUGAUAAAUAUUUUUAUUUUUUAAUGAAUGCAUAUAAAUUUCUUUUAGGUAAUAUAAAUAAAUUAGUUAUGUUGGAGAAUUUUUUUUCUUAAAAAAUAUGAACUAUCAAUAAAAAUUUUAUGAACUUAAUUUCUUUGUAUGAGAAGUAUAGUAAUAUAUAAAUAAAUUAAUAUUUUAUAUAUGAUAAAUAGAUAUUAUAAUAUUAAUAAUAUUAUUAUAUUUAAUUUACUAAAUGUGUGUCCAUUUUUGUGUUCAUGCUGCUUAGAUUUCUGCAGUAUUAUUUUUAAAUUAAAUUGUCAUAAUCAAAUAUUUCAAUAUAAUACAGUUGCUUGAAUAAUAAUGUGUCGCUGAUAUUACAGUGAUGUGGUAAUGUUAUAAAUUUGAUGACGCAAUAAUAAGCUAGAUACUUAAUUUAUUAAUAUAAUACUAUAUUAGUGACACAUUAUCACCAAGCUAGUCGACUAAUUAAAUUGGUAUGUAGGACUUAAUUGUAAUAAUUUACAGCGAAUUAAAUUUUAAGGAUCG